rnacentral:rRNA from 1 species
CCUACGGGAGGCUGCAGUGGGGAAUAUUGGACAAUGGGCGAAAGCCUGAUCCAGCCAUGCCGCGUGUGUGAAGAAGGCCUUCGGGUUGUAAAGCACUUUCAGUGGGGAAGAAAGCCUUGGGGCUAAUACCCUCGAGGAAGGACAUCACCCACAGAAGAAGCACCGGCUAACUCCGUGCCAGCAGCCGCGGUAAUACGGAGGGUGCGAGCGUUAAUCGGAAUUACUGGGCGUAAAGCGCGCGUAGGCGGUCUGAUAAGCCGGUUGUGAAAGCCCCGGGCUCAACCUGGGAACGGCAUCCGGAACUGUCAGGCUAGAGUGCGGGAGAGGAAGGUAGAAUUCCCGGUGUAGCGGUGAAAUGCGUAGAGAUCGGGAGGAAUACCAGUGGCGAAGGCGGCCUUCUGGACUGACACUGACGCUGAGGUGCGAAAGCGUGGGUAGCAAACAGGAUUAGAUACCCUAGUAGUC